rnacentral:rRNA from 1 species
AUUGAACGCUGGCGGAAUGCUUUACACAUGCAAGUCGAACGGCAGCACGGACUUCGGUCUGGUGGCGAGUGGCGAACGGGUGAGUAAUGUAUCGGAACGUGCCCAGUCGUGGGGGAUAACGUAGUGAAAAUUACGCUAAUACCGCAUACGAUCUAUGGAUGAAAGCGGGGGAUCGCAAGACCUCGCGCGAUUGGAGCGGCCGAUAUCAGAUUAGGUAGUUGGUGAGGUAAAGGCCCACCAAGCCAACGAUCUGUAGCUGGUCUGAGAGGACGACCAGCCACACUGGAACUGAGGCACGGUCCAGACUCCUACGGGAGGCAGCAGUGGGGAAUUUUGGACAAUGGGCGAAAGCCUGAUCCAGCCAUUCCGCGUGCAGGAUGAAGGCCCUCGGGUUGUAAACUGCUUUUGUACAGAACGAAAAGGUUUCUACUAAUACUAGGAGCUCAUGACGGUACUGUAAGAAUAAGCACCGGCUAACUACGUGCCAGCCGCCGCAGUAA